rnacentral:pre_miRNA from 1 species
AGGAAAAAAGAUUAAUUCCAGACAGUUUACUAUUCUGGAAGCAUCUCUUUUUCUCUUG